CAGCACCUCAAGUGGUCAGGAUGAUUAUUGGGCCUAAAGCAUCCGUAGCCGGCGCUGUAAGUUUUCGGUUAAAUCUGUACGCUCAACGUACAGGCUGCCGGGAAUACUGCAGCGCUAGGGAGUGGGAGAGGUAGACGGUACUCGGUAGGAAGGGGUAAAAUCCUUUGAUCUAUUGAUGACCACCUGUGGCGAAGGCGGUCUACCAGAACACGUCCGACGGUGAGGGAUGAAAGCUGAGGGAGCAAUCCGGAUUAGAUACCCGAGUAGUCC
rnacentral:rRNA from 1 species